rnacentral:lncRNA from 1 species
CGUUCAGCGCGGCGGAUAGAAAUUUUAUUGACUCGUUGCGUCCGUCUGCCCGUGCAGGAACCUCACUGCCAAAACCGCUAGAGGUCAAGCCGCUACAGACCAUUCCGUGGGACGUAGAUAUGGGUCGUGCAUCGCGUCCGGAGAGUUCUAGGGUGGGGGAGGCUGCCGCUGCACAUACUUUGCACGAAGAGCGGCUAGAAAGCAAUAGUGCCGCCAGCGGUUCCGCUGGCAGGGGAGGUGUAGCGGGAGAGGAUACCGAGUCGGCGUGGGUGUUCAAGGACGGCACCCCUGUUAACGAGGCGGGAGGUAGGAUGACCGCUGUUUCCGUCAACCGGCUGAAGCGAGUGUUCCGGUUGCCCGGUGUGGUGAAGCUGCGUCCGCCGACGGUAGAGGAGAAGGCUUCGAUCCUGCCAGUGGGCCACGCCGCGGUGCACGAGGCUAUAUUCCGCGAGGGAGUGACCUUGCCGCUGGUGCCCAACCUACAGAUCCUGGUGUGCGAGUUUGGCAUCGCCUUUGGGCAAGUAUGCCCCAACAUGUUGCGGUUACUGCUGGCGCUGAACUCGUUGUGGCGGUUGUCUGGUUGUGAAGGACCAACCGUGGCGGAGGUAUUACAUUUCUAUGAACUGGUGUACGUGAAGCGCCAGGGUUAUAGAGGGCAAGUAAACCUCAGUCGUCGUCAAGGAGCGCCCAAGCAAAUCGAGAACCUGAGGGACUCAAUGUCCUACUGGCGAGGGAUUUUCUGUAUUGCCACGGCGGGGUGGGAAUACCAAGCGGGGUCCAACGAGGGGAGCCGACGUUUAGGAUUAAGUCGGAGUUUCAGCCCAUCCGAGGUUGUUUGCCGUUUCCGCCGAACACGAUUGGCGGGGUUUUUUUUUUUUUUUUUGUACUCGUACUUGUACUGAUAAUGACCUUUCUUGUGCAGCGGGGUUGCGGUACAGCCUAACUCGUGGGGAAGAGUGCCGCGUAGCACGCAUCAGGGGCUGCUGGCGGAAUCGCAACUUACUGGACUUCCGUCUCCUGACCGGGUGGGAGUUGUUGGUAGCUCAAUAACUGACGCAUGCCGUUGGUAAGUAAUCUCCGCUGUACGGCACCUUUUGUGAGGUUGCCUCAUGCUAACUGGCCUACCACUAUCUUUGCAGAGACUCUGCCGGGAAACAAGGCUAGCCUUGACGCUUUUGCAAAAGCCAUGGACCGCGCUGAAAUCAACAACUUCCUGGAAGCCAUGUAUGCUUCAGGGAUGGCAGCGCAUAAGGCGGUGGUGGACCCAGAGACACUGGUGCUGAGCCAGUCAGAGGUUCCUGUGGUGCUGCCCAUGCCGCACCACUCUCACCUUGGUGGUGACGGGCUGCCUGCCGUUCAGGCGGGGACCGACACGGUGAGUGAGGCGGCUCCGCGGAAAGAGAGAGAGUCGGCCCUGCGGAGCGGAGUGCCAAAGAAAGCAGUGCGCCCCACUGAGGGUGUUACCAUAGCAGGGUUGGAGCCGCCGACGGGGGGUUCGAGGCCUGCCGUUGCUGGAAGCACGCGGGUGCUUCAGCGAAAACGCCGUCAGCCGGACUCGGGCGGGGAAGAGGAGGAAGUGGAGGUGACAGGGGCCCGCGAGCAGCCGAAGAAGUCGAGGCAGGCUCCGCCCGAGGCUGUCGCUGACGUGGCGAAAGAGGUGGGUACAAGCGGCUUGGACUCAUUUUCCGCCUACGCCGAGUUCCUCAACGACGGUAAGCGGGACUUCCUGUAUCACCUUUGCGAGCGGCUGGGGUUCGGCGGCUUGGAAGGGAUUGUUCGGUCAACCGCCAUCAGCGAGUCGCCCUUCAGCACAGCCUUUGGGCACGUCAUCGUUGGGCUGCAUGAGAUGUUCCAGGCAGCGUCAAAACAACCCCUGGUUGAGCGGGAGCUCAGGGAGGAGGUGGCGGGGCUACAGAGGGACUUGGGGAAGACACGGGAACAGUUGGCUGACGUCGAGCGAUGCUUGACGAAGGCCGACUGCGAUGCGACAGACGCCCGUGGCAAGCUAAACGUUGCCAUUGAGCGGCACUUAGAGCGGAACGAACAGUUCGCCAAGUUGGAGGAAGACAUGUCCCUGCUGCGGGAUCGGGUGGCCGCCAAGGAUAAGAAGGUUGAGAUCCUUCAGAGGGAGUCCGCCGCCAAACAGGCAGAGGUUAAGCGGCUGGAAGGUGAGUUCGCUCGCCUGGAGGCUGAGGGGAGCCGUGCUGCAGCCGCUGCUGUUGAGUCGUACAAGAAGUCAGCGGAGUACAAGAAGGCGCUGACUGAAGCGGCGAAGGUUGGUGCCCUGGCCAACGUGGAGAUGUUGCAGCAGAAGGGCGCCAUCGACUGGGCGAAAGCGUCGAUGCCAGUCGUGCAGGCAACUAAGGGAGCUCCGCCGUCAACAAGUACCGCUCCUCCUGCUGCCCCUGGUUGUGUUGGAGUCUGCUCGGGUAGCGGGGAGAGUGGCAAGCUUCCAAAAGGCGACUCUCAGUGGACGCCUUCGCAGUCCUAGGUGUCCCGCGCUGGGUUCUUGGCGGCCCACGCCCUAGCGGAUGGCACAAUGGAGACCCCCAGUCCCACAGCCCGAGGGUCAGACCAGACGAGCCGCUCCCAUCCACCGCAGGCCGCCAGUGGAAUUGCCGAGGGUAGCGGAGCCGACCUCGCCAACCCUGCCAACCCCGCUAACCCCGCCAACCCCGC